AACGAACGCUGGCGGCAGGCUUAACACAUGCAAGUCGAGCGCCCCGCAAGGGGAGCGGCAGACGGGUGAGUAACGCGUGGGAAUCUACCCAUCACUACGGAACAACUCCGGGAAACUGGAGCUAAUACCGUAUACGUCCUUCGGGAGAAAGAUUUAUCGGUGAUGGAUGAGCCCGCGUUGGAUUAGCUAGUUGGUGGGGUAAUGGCCUACCAAGGCGACGAUCCAUAGCUGGUCUGAGAGGAUGAUCAGCCACAUUGGGACUGAGACACGGCCCAAACUCCUACGGGAGGCAGCAGUGGGGAAUAUUGGACAAUGGGCGAAAGCCUGAUCCAGCCAUGCCGCGUGAGUGAUGAAGGCCCUAGGGUUGUAAAGCUCUUUCGCAGGUGAAGAUAAUGACGGUAACCUGAAAAGAAGCCCCGGCUAACUUCGUGCCAGCAGCCGCCGAAACAC
rnacentral:rRNA from 1 species